CGAAAGGCUGACCCAGCAACGCCGCGUGGUGGAUGAAGCCCUUCGGGGUGUAAACACCUUUUCUGGGGGAAGAUAAUGACGGUACCCCAGGAAUAAGGGACGGCUAACUACGUGCCAGCAGCCGCGGUAAUACGUAGGUCCCGANCGUUGCGCNAAAUUACUGGGCGUAAAGGGUCCGUAGUCGGUCUGGUAAGUGGAAGGUGAAAUNNUACGGCUCAACCGUAGAAUUGCCUUCCAAACUGCUGNACUUNAGGCAGGGAGAGGUCNGCGGAAUUCCCNGUGUAGCGGUGAAAUGCGUAGAUAUCNGGAGGAACACCANUGGCGAAAGCGGCCGACUGGAACUGACCUGACACUNAGGGACGAAAGCUANGGGAGCAAACCNGAUUAGAUACCCNGGUAGUCCUAGCCNUAAACGAUNGAUGCUAUAUGUGGCCUACNAAAGUAGGCUGUGCCGCAAGCAAACGCGUUAAGCAUCCCGCCUGGGGAGUACGGCCGCAAGGUUG
rnacentral:rRNA from 1 species